GGAAAAGACAAACAUCUCUGAGCUGCUU
rnacentral:piRNA from 1 species